rnacentral:rRNA from 1 species
UCGGGUGAGACUACCCGCUGAACUUAAGC